GAACUUUGUCCUCUCACACUAAAGCAAGGCACCAGAGGCUGAGAUUGGGCAGGAAGAGGAGCUCUCACCUUGCAGAGCAACCAGCAAGGCUUUUGUGCCUGGGAGCACAUCCAGUCCUGCAGAAGAAGGCAGACACUGCCCACAGGAGCUGCAGCUGUAACUGGAGCCUGGGAAAGGGCAGGCAGCAGCGGAUGGCGGAUUCAGGAUACGCAGGUUUUGGCUUUCUACAAGAGCAGAGAGAGGGAAGGAGCAGACUGAGUGUCCAUCCCACAGGAAUGCAAACGCCACACUGGAAGCCUGCUCCAGGAAGUGCUUAUUGAACAAACGCACACAGCUGCAUCCUGCCCUCCCUGCGGUCAGGACCGGGUUCACCUGCACUGUCAGACCCUGGGACUGGGGAUACGGCCUGGAGUCUGCUUCAGGAAAGGCACAACUACACAAGGGAUUAGAUUGCUUGAUUCCACAGUAAUUACACUUAAAACCUUCUGGGUUUGCUGAAGCACAAGGGAUCAGGUAACAUUUGCAGUAUUUCUUACAGGGACAGCAGGGGUUUUGUAAAUACCAGGUCAAUCAGUGUUUCUAAGGAGCACCACUGGCACUGGCCAUGAAAGCCUCACAGUGAGAUGGCAGAAGCACCCAGGAGGACAGGCCAGGCUUCCAGAGGUGGGAAUAGCUGGAUAUCCACUCACUUCCCUAAGGGAGACAUUCUGCACUGCUUUGUUAAUACAGAACCCUCCAGCACAGCUGAGGAACGCCAAGGCUGGGAACGCUCUUCUCCCAUUAGAUCAGAGGCAUGUCAGAGUCCUUCAUGAUGGGGGAGCAAUGAACUCCUGCCUCUUCUCCAGGAAAGCCUUCCCUGGUUCUGAUCAUUCCUGUGGUUCAUGGUCCUCCUGUCCUCACAGAGGCACUGGAUAAGGAUUUGAUAUGGUAAAAUCAAUGUGAGCUUUUAAUUUCCUGGAGAUUGAUGCUCUUCAAACACAACCAAGUAUCUUUUCUGGACACUGCGAUUAAAGAAAGCUCAAACCUGA